AUGGAUAUUUUUUGAGAACUGGUAAACGAUGAUACAAAAAUUAAUGAACUCGAAAUAUAAUUGAGGCGGAUUAAACGUGUAGGUUGUUCGAUAAGAACCGAGUGGAUGAAUUUGUAAUAGUCAGUUGUAUUAAAAUCGUCGCUCGCUCAACAUUAUUAUGCCGAUCGCAGAAAGGAUAACAAUUAAACUGUCCUAGGGAGCACGUUCAUGCAUUUAUAUCGACCGACGUUACAACAAAAAGUUAAAAGCUAAAGUUCUUAUGUAACUCCGGCUAAAGAUUACAAACAACGACCAUAACAAUCUGUUCCGAGUUCGUUUGCCUCUAGAUCUUGUAAGCCAAAACAAUCGUUAGGAUUUAAAGGCACGAUAAUGUGGGUCUCUCCCAGAUUCCAAUUUUUCCUUGACUUUUUCUACGCUUAUGUGCCGCUGCAAUAUAUAAGAUAUAAAUAAAAGGAAAAUAACAAUAGUAUACAAAUUAUUACCGAAAAGUUCGGGUACAUGUGGCAUAAUUACUUUGAUACAGUUCUGACCAUUUGUCUUAUGUUCUCUUGUUUUCAUAGGACAAAGUUUUGUAUCAUAACCAUAGAGAUAUACUGGUCAUAACUUUUCAGUUUGUUGUAGCAACGUGUCUUCCAUGACGAUUACAUUAAAAUAUUUGCAGGCAAACGGUUUAUAUAUAAACAUAUUGCUUAUGUUGUUUGAGCAGAGAUGAAAUGAUAUCGACGUAUUAGAAAAAUAUUCUUAUACUUGAAGAAAAUAGAUGAUAUGAUAAGCCUGGAAUGCAAAGGAGUUUCGUUCUUCCGCCAGACGUGCUUGCCAAAUAUUUGACUCAAAAUAUCAUUCUACAUAAAUAAUGUCAAAUAAGAAGAAGGACAGAACGCCAUUCCUGUCACAUGCGAGGCCAUAGCGGUCCAUCACCAUCAGCGAGCGCAAGAAAGACCAAAUCACCUAGCAUCCGCUCGCACUAGUUAUUUUGUCGCUAAGAAUGGCAAGCGAGAGGAUCGGGAAGUUGGAUCGUUCUGUUCGUCGAAACAAAAGGUUCCCUCGAUCGGGUAUAAGUUCCGAGGUAAACAUAAAUUUCACGCGUAGAAGCUCGAAGCUACGAUAUGCAAAGGGUUGAACGUGUCAUCCUAUCGAGUCCUCCUCGGAUUCCCUGUUUAACGACACCGUGACAGCUGAAGGGGCGAGCAACUGUAUGCGUAUAUACGUCUUUGUACGGCAUCGCGAUCCGUAAGAAGAAAAGAAGACGAAGAAGAAGCAGAAGAAGAAGAAGAAGAAGAAGAAGAAGGAGACGAUGGAGGCAGAACGAAGUUGAACGGGCAAGGGGAGACGGAGGAGAGCACGAGGAACGAGACAGAGGCCUGGGUAAGUUAUCACUCGAGUCUGGACCAGGAAUAGUCGCCAUGUGGUGGCAGCCGUGGGACUGACUAUUUUCGGGUAAAGACAAAUUUGGCGCGAUGCGCUACGAGGGAGCAAGCAAGCCUCGUGGUAGUCUCAAGUGUAAGCUUACAUGUGCCGGGGGGUGUCGGCCACGACAUGGAGAGGCCAAUGGGAUCUGUGCGGCCAUUUUUAGAGGGCUCGUUGAAGCAACCGUGCCCAAAGCUUUGGCAGCAUUCAGUCUGAAGCAGUCAACCAGUCAGGAGGAUUCGCUAGAAGUUCUUGACUCGAGCUGCUCUAACACUCGCGACCAGAGAAUAUCCUCGACCUCUCGAAGGACUCGGUCUGUCUCGUAAGUCCAACAUGGACGACGCUACCGGCCGGAAUCGUUCCGAUCCGCAAUCGAAUCGAACAGGAAGUGCGAGCAAUCAGGUAUCUCGCCGAUCUGUGAAACGUAUCGGUUUUCAGGAUCCAAUCCCGUGAACGCGCGGAUUUCGACCGUGUCGAAACCAGUGGAUUACGUAAUCGUCCGAUUAGAAGAUGAAACGCGCAUCGUCACGGCGACAGGAUCGUCCGGUCUUCGUCGUUGAGAAGUGGCCAAUUUUUGUCGAUCGAACGAUCGAUCGGCUUGAACCAACAGAACAACGAUUUUCUCGAACGAUUCUUUCGUUCGAACCGGGCGAUGCCGUUCCGUGCUUCCUUACUUCCCAUAGUGAAUGUGACGUAUGGAAUGUAAAGAAGUAUGGAGCUGCGCCCAGGUGUAUCAUCGAACCGGAAACACGCCGUGGGACCCGGUGUUCUCCGCGAGACAUGCUCAACAGCUGAUCAAACAGUUGACCACAUGUUUCUGCAGGCUGAAGACAGCAAGAUUUUAUUACGCCCGAUGAAAUCAUGGAAAACGACCGGUGUAUUCUGAUACGCUUUAGAAACGAUUUUUACCGACGAUUCUUGUUUCCAUAGAAAAUCAACGGGGAGCAGUCGAAAGUCUCGAGAGUGCGCGAUGCAACGUUACGCAAAGUUUCCACGUUUGGCGAGGUCAUCGUGAUGGAAAAAGAUAUUAAACAGCUAUAGCCCGGUACUGGUAUCUAGACGCCAGAAAUAGAGGCAGUUCCACGUAUACCGUAACGUGACUCGAGCAUCUUUCCAGGUCCAUGUGGCCUCUCCCGUGUUUUCUAUUUACGGUUCCGUCGUGACUACCAUGUGGUCGCCAGCUUUAUUUAAAUCGGCAAAAUAUUUCAAGGCGUUCCCAGGGCCCGUUUGUCUCCCCCGCCGAGCCACGAUUCAUAAACUAGAGAUUUUCUUCUUGCAGAUGACGACGAUGCACCGUUCGACCAGUAAAAACCGGGGAAAAAGUGCUCUGGUGUUCAGCUAAUCCUUUUUUUGUCUCGAUUCUGUGCAUCGUGUACCGACAGUAAACACCACUUAUAGCGUACAGAGAAGAAUGCACGACCAAGGAGGAUGGAAGGGGUGAAAACGGUAGAAAGGGAAGGGAGAGCCUGGAAGGAGAUGUUCGUCCGGUAGUGAAGUCAAAAAUAGGACGCAUGGUCACCAGCAUAUUUCCAUAAAUGAGUUCUCCGGUUACAGAGUCUAUUUGCGUUCUGGGCCGGCGACCGGAGUUGCAGCCAAUUACAAUCGGUUCCAGGACGAUUUACGAAUUCUGCGACAGAUCUGGGGAUCUAUUGUGCGCAGUAAUCCACGAAGUUUUUGAAACAAGAGAGUAAAACGCGCCUUCUUCCAUUCUUGCGGAGUAUAAUGAUUGCAAAGAUUGUGAUUACGAAAGAGGGGGUUAGAGAACAUGACGUCAGUGAGCUUCUGUGACGUAAUCGGACUUCGAUGUAUAUGUACUUAGGGAUUUGUAUUAAGUCAUGAGUAAUGCGAUUUUUCUGAGGGCAGGCUUUUAAACGACGAAGCUAGUUAUGAUCCUUUUGAUUGCGAGUUUUGUAAAAAGGAGAUAGAGAAGUGAUAAACAAUUUUAGCAGAUGGAUGGCAAUACGUUAUUAAUUAUUAUUGAUAGAUAGUCUAUUUAUUCUUAGCUAAUAUAUAUUUGCGUUAAAUAUAUGUAAUUAAUAAUUGAUACAUUUAAUAUUUGUCUCAAAGAAUUAUGUUGUUGUAUCGAACAAUACGAAUAUUUUAGACUCCUUUAAUUGUUAAUGCGAUAGGUUUGUAUUUAGAAAUGUUUUGUUAUAUAGGUAUUUUCUGUAUUUUAAGAAAUUAGGAAAUCAUCAAGUGUUUAUAUCUUUACGAACAACAGUAUUAUUAUAGCAAUAAUAAGUAUCUACGUUUUGUAAACGAAUAGAGAAAUGUUUAAUUUUAAAAUAGUAUACGGAUAUUUGUUAAUAUUUUAAUAAUUAGAUUAUAGAGACGCGUUUAAGGAUUUAACUGCUCUUCUCGCCUUUAUGUUUCCUGCACAUUCUUCAAAUUUUUAAGUAACAGCUAUAGAAGAUAUAUUAGUAGUAUCAGAUGGCGAAUAUAUCUGCAAAGGCGAUUGUUCUUACCAGAACUGUGAGAUUAUUUCUAUCUAUGUGAUGAGAUUACGAGCCAAAGAAUUUUAUUUAUUUUAAGCGUAUUUACCGACGAUAAACCGGCAGUAAACCGUCUUCUAUCGGAAGUUCUAUUAGUUUAGAAGAACCUUCUUCGUUCGACAUAAACUAAGUCCACACUGACACGUAAUUAUCCGCAUUAACAUUUCUGAUGAACGUGUCUGUCAGUGUGUAGUCUUGACUUUGUGACUCAAAACUGGAAGAAUUUGAACAUAAAGAUUUUAUCAAACGACAAAUUAGUUUAUGUUUAUCACUUUCGUAAUAACAAAAGUGUUAUAUGAUUAUUAUAGACCAAUAGCGUCUCGUAAUAUAUAAUUUGACUUUUCUGUGCAAACUUCGACUUUACGUUUUAAGAUGUUGAAGCUCAGAUGUCUCGGAUAUCCCUGUCUUACUAUAUUUUGUUGUAUCUGCUAACCAUCCAUUGACAUGACAACGCGAGCCUUUGUAACGAUCGCUAGUCGAUUUUAUCAGCUGGUUGUACACGUCUCGUCAAUAACACGACGAAACUAAAGCCAGGAACACGGAAAAUGGGACGAUAGACGAGGAAUAAAAGUGCGCUAAACGCUCGAUUUAUGAGGUUGAGACAGCACCGCUGGUAUGAAUGUUCACCCUAAUAAAUAACUGACAGUCUACGGAGCAGAAACCAUGGGGUUGGAGGUGGAUGUGAUCCCAGCUAUGCGUGGAAGCCUCGACUAUUCAGGAUGCAGGCACGGCCGGAUUUGCAUUGCCGUCAUUGUCGCGAUUUGAAUCGGUCGCUCGCUUGCUCGCUUGUUCGCUCGCGCAAGCGCCUAGAUCCUGUCGCGGCUUGCUUCCAUUGUGGCAAAUAAUUCUGCGGUGCCAUGGGAUUAACGAUUGCCUUGAAUGGGAAACGGACUGUAGCGGCCAAGGAACUGUGCUUGGGCUUUCGGCUAUUCUAUCGCCGUGUAAAAUAGCACGGGCUUUGCGGAAAGAGGUGUUCGACGAAGCUUCGUAAUACGAAUCGAAAUAUCGAAAUUUCUGUUGAAGAGACACCGUCGUUCGUAAAUAUGUACACAUUUUAUUCGAUUUAUGUCAAUGAUACACGAAUAUCGAUAAGGUAUAUAAAUUAAUGGCAAGCAAAUGGUCAGAAGCAAUUCUUACUGUUACCUUGUGGAGUCAACAGAUAGAAUGCAUCGCAUGAAAUAUUAAUUUUUUAUUUCGUAUCUUAUCAAUGAUAUAUUAAAAUUAAAUAUACACACGACAGUCGUCGAAGUGUUGUAUUAUUUUAAAUACCGUUGCUAGAAUUAUUCAGGGUAGCGCUUCUGUCAAUCUAAAAAAACCUUCUCUACUUUACUUAUACGUUGAUGGCUGACAAACGAGUUGAAGAUAACGAGCUGCUUGAAUGAUAAACAUAAUGUUUGACAUUUUGUAACCGCUAUAAACCUCGUCGAAAAGUUUACGACGGAUUAAUCAUAAAGCGAGAUUAAAAUGAAAAAAUCAACAAAAGUGUAUUUUUCCCCCGUGAUCUUCGUACAGGUACUUUUUCUUUCUUCUCGCUCGAUUUCAAUCCGUUUAUCUUUCGUUUCCCGUCACGGAAGAAGAGAAAAUUCAUUUCCGCUAGCCAGUCGACAGCAAAUUCCACAGCAAGUAAUAACUCAAUUAUUGACUCAUGACUUUAAACGAUUAGCGUUUGGUCGUGGAACACGUGCGUCGAAUUCCGCAGCCCGAAUACGCGUGCCGUUCGAUUUCGCAGACAAUUCGUUGGCUGGAAAGGGAGAGAACCAAGGGUGAAAAGGGAGACGAAACACGGAGGACCAGGUGAGCAGAGGCCAUAACGAGCCGGCAUUAAAUUUGUCCACGGAAAAUAGCUCUGUCCACACAGUGGCGGUAAUGUUCUUGAUUAAGCCGAAUGAAUUAUACUGAUAUUAUUCCCGUAAAAUAAUAAUAUUAGUCCUCGUAUUAUUGGCUGAUGUUGGCAUUUGCAUUAAUGGCCGUUUUCCUAAUUGACGGGUCGCCACGUUUUGUCUAUUUGUUGUACGCGUUACACCCGGUACCGAUUAUGUUACUAAGCUAUGUCAGUGUGGAAUGAGCAUUAUUCUGGUCUUUCAAAAGGAACGCAGAGAUC